UCUUGGACGAAAGUUACCUAAGGAGGGAAGAAUGUAACGCCCCAAAUUUUCGAGGUAAAUGUACAGCGAGGGGCAGACCGACCAGAGGCAAGAAGGAUGCGUGAAGGCCAUAUGGACGCAUCUAGUUUUCUUUAUGCUUCCGCUGAUGUAUAUUGUUAGAAUAUUUGGUUUUGUGAUUUUGAGUUUGAUGACUUGAGUAUCGUAUUUGAAACUCUCGUGACUGUGAUUUAAAAUAGGGCACGAAACUGCUUUUGUAAUAUUUCUAACGUUUUUAGUGAAUCGUAACCGGUCCUUUAUGAGUUUUUGUGUUU